GGCUUGUUGAAUAUAAUUUCAGGUCGGGCCUGCCCAAUGAUAAGUUGAAUGGCCGCAGUAUUUUGACUGUGCAAAGGUAGCAUAAUCAUUAGUUUUUUAAUUAAAAGCUUGAAUGAAAGGUUUAAUGAAAAAAUUUCUGUCUCUGUGAAAGUUAAAUAGAAUUUUAUUUUUAAGUGAAAAAGCUUAAAUAUUUAUAGAAGACGAGAAGACCCUAUAGAGUUUUAUAUUUUUAUUUUAAAUUAAGAUUAAAUGAUUAGAAAUUUGUUUUUAAUAAAUAUAUUUAGUUGGGGUGAUUGGAAAAUUUAAUAAACUUUUCUUUAUAAAAACAUUAAUUUUUGAAUUUAUGAUCCUAGGAAUUUAGAUUAUAAGAAGAAAUUACCUUAGGGAUAACAGCGUAAUUUUUUUUAGAGUUCUUAUCGAAGAAAAAGUUUGCGACCUCGAUGUUGGAUUAAAAUUUAUUAUUGGUGAAGAAGCUAAUGAUUUAGGUCUGUUCGACCUUUAAAAUUUUACAUGAUCUGAGUUUAAACCGGUGUAAG
rnacentral:rRNA from 1 species